rnacentral:rRNA from 1 species
CCUACGGGUGGCAGCAGUAGGGAAUUUUCGUCAAUGGGCGCAAGCCUGAACGAGCAAUGCCGCGUGAACGAGGAAGGUCUUCGGAUCGUAAAGUUCUGUUGAAGGGGAAAAAGAGCGGAGAGAGGAAAUGAACUCCGAUUGAUAUUACCCUUCGAGGAAGUCACGGCUAACUACGUGCCAGCAGCCGCGGUAAUACGUAGGUGGCGAGCGUUAUCCGGAAUGAUUGGGCGUAAAGGGUGCGUAGGCGGCCUGCUAAGUCUGGAGUGAAAGGUACCGGCUCAACCGGUACAGGCGCUGGAAACUGGCGUGCUAGAGAGCAGGAGAGGGCGGUGGAACUCCAUGUGUAGCAGGAAAAUGCGUAGAUAUAUGGAAGAACACCAGUGGCGAAGGCGGCCGCCUGGCCUGUUACUGACGCUGAGGCACGAAAGCGUGCGGAGCAAAUAGGAUUAGAUACCCGGGUAGUC